GCCCUCGUGGCCCAAUCGGUAGAGGCAGGCGGCUUAAACCCGCUUCAGUACGGGUUCGAAUCCCGUCGGGGGCACCU
rnacentral:tRNA from 2 species